GAUGAACGCUAGCGGCAGGCUUAAUACAUGCAAGUCGUGGGGCAGCGCAGUGUAGCAAUACAUGGGCGGCGACCGGCAAACGGGUGCGUAACACGUACGCAACCUUCCCGUUACUGGGGAAUAGCCCAGGGAAACUUGGAUUAAUACCCCCUAGUAUAUAACCUUCGCAUGUUGGUAAUAUUAAAGUUCCAAAGGUAAACGAUGGACAUGCGUACUAUUAGCUAGUUGGGGUGGUAACGGCAAACCAAGGCGACGAUAGGUAGGGGUCCUGAGAGGGAGAUCCCCCACACUGGUACUGAGACACGGACCAGACUCCUACGGGAGGCAGCAGUGAGGAAUAUUGGACAAUGGGCGCAAGCCUGAUCCAGCCAUGCCGCGUGCAGGAAGAAGCAUCUAUGGUGUGUAAACUGCUUUUGUACAGGAAGAAACACCCCUUCGUGAAGGGACUUGACGGUACUGUAAGAAUAAGGAUCGGCUAACUCCGUGCCAGCCGCCGCCGUAAAAC
rnacentral:rRNA from 1 species